AGUUGCCGUUCCUGCUGGAUGCUUCAGCUGGUUAAAAUGCGUGGGCAUCCGGAAAAGACGUGCUUCACGGUGAAGCGCCUCCUCCGCGCUACAUAUAAACCGGCUGUCAAUGUUUAACACGUCACGCCGCUCCGCUGUGACAGCGCGGAACACGCUGCGCUCCCGUGAUCGUGGGAGCCCGUGGCGGGACGAGAUGAGCUUUAUUCCGCGGGGGUGGCUGCUCGCCGCGCUGCUCUGCGUUUCAGGCCACGGCCAGCCGAGGGACACAGUAAUACAAUACCUGCACGAGGGAGUAAUGAAUGGAGCAAAUAUAAUCAAGGAGAAGGAACUGGUAACACCCAACAAUAUUGAAAUUGUCAGAGAUGCUGCUCUUUCACUUCCAGUGCUGAGGAUGAUUGUGAAAAGUUUUAACCAUACGGACCUGAUGAACAAUUACACUUUCCAACAUUCCUGGAAAUGCAACCUUUAUGGAUCACAAGUCCAGUUCGUGUCUGAGCAGUUCAUGUACGAUGGAAAAGUAUGUUUGUAUUGGGAUGAAGCCAGUGGGCUAUGGACAGCCAUGGGCCUGCAUGCAACUGCCCUGUACCGGGAGUUGGAGAGCAAUAAACAAACAAUGCAAAAGAAGCCCAAGGAGGCAUGUACAGAGCUCAUGAACACCCUGCACGGGACUAACAAAGGUAAGUCAAUGGUUUGUUCAUUUAGUUAA
rnacentral:lncRNA from 1 species